GACAGAGGGUGCGAACGUUGCUCGGAAUCACUGGGCGUAAAGCGCGCGUAGGCGGGCAAGCAAGUCGGUUGUGAAAUCCCUGGGCUCAACCCAGGAACUGCAUCCGAAACUAUUUGUCUCGAGUGACGGAGAGGAUAGUGGAAUUCCCGGUGUAGAGGUGAAAUUCGUAGAUAUCGGGAGGAACACCAGUGGCGAAGGCGGCUAUCUGGACGUCUACUGACGCUGAGGCGCGAAAGCGUGGGGAGCAAACAGG
rnacentral:rRNA from 1 species